GUACAUUGACCAUAUACAUGUAUACUAUAUAUUGACCAUGGGAUUUGUGUGUUAUAAGUGCCAAAACACUAUAUAUUUUGGGUUUCGUUACUACUUAAAGCAUCUGAGAGUUGUUCAUGACAUUAUCCAAGGAAACCAGUUUAGAUGCCCUGUACCUUGUUAUCAGGAUGGAUGUAUGAGGACAUUUCAAUAUACUUGGUCUUUAAAGAGACAUUUUAAAAGUGAACAUGCACAACUUGAACAUGUUGAUGAUGAUCAGCAAAAUGAAGAAGCUUUUCAGGAGCAGGACCCUCAGGCUCAGCAACUUGAUUUGGAUCUAAAUCAAGACAUAGCUGAUGAAGAAGAUGAGGAAAAUGAACCAGAAACUGACAUUUUCAUAAAAAGUGCACAAUUUCUUUGCAAGCUUAAAUCUACACGACAUGUCACUGGUACCACUGUGUCCCUAGUUCAGCAGUCAACCACAGAUCUUAUUUCUGACAUAGUUGGGUGUAUAGGCGAGAAAGUGAAGACACUUGUUGCAAAUUUAGGUGUUGAUGAAGAAAAUCCGGAAUGGCAAGAAUUAUCCAACUGUCUGAAUAAUCUUGAACAGCCAUUUUCUGAAGUAAACACAGAUUACAAACUGAAGAAAUACUUACGAAAAUUACAGGGCUUUGUCGAGCCAAAGUCAAUUAAUUUUAUGAAUGGAAAUCAAUUAGCUGUCGAGUAUGUACAAAGAACAGAUAGAAAAACCGGAGAAGUGCAGCAAACAGAAAUCAACAAAGAUUUCCAGUAUGUACCAUUGAAACUACUCCUUCGACAGAUACUGAUGAGUAAAGGUUUGAUGGAAGCUAUAAUAGAACAUCAACAAAAUGUUAAGGAUGACAUUCUUCAGGAUUUCCAAGAUGGUGAACUGUGCAAAAGCCACCUGAAUAUCUACGGCCAUAAAGUCCUCUUGUUGAUAUAUGGUGAUGACGUUGAGGUUUGCAAUCCACUUGGAUCGAGGAAGCAUAAAAUCGGUUUAAUGUACUUCACGAUCAAGAGUCUACCAAGAAAGUACACAUCCGCACUCGAGCAUAUUUACCUUUUGGCUGUUUAUAACAAUAAUGAUGCAAAAGCCUAUGGAAUGGAUCAAAUCUUACGUCCCAUAAUCAAUGAUUUGAAGAGUCUGGAGAGUGAUGGGAUUGACAUUGAAACUGAUGUGUUUUCAGGCAACAUUCGCUUUGGAGUGGCACAAGUUGUUGGUGAUAAUCUGGGUGUCCAUGGUCUCCUUGGAUUUGUGGAAUCUUUUUCAGCAAACUUCCCUUGUCGUCAUUGCAAAAUCUCCAGAGAUGAAAUUCAGACACAAUAUAUUGCAAGUUCUGUUCUUAGGAAUGAACAUAACUAUAUGGAGGAUGUUGCUAUAAAUGACGUAUCAGCAACUGGCAUCAGACGGAACAGCAUUUUCAAUGAGCUUCAGACAUUUCACGUAACUAGGAACUAUGCCCCAGACAUCAUGCAUGAUGUUUUGGAAGGGGUGUGCAUGUGGGAACUUAAGAUUGUGAUACGAGAACUUAUACGAAGCGGUAAAUUUACACUGGAACUUCUGAAUGGCAGGAUAACCAGCUAUGAUUAUGGAUUCACUGACAAGUGCAACAAACCAACCUGCUUCACAGAAAAAGAUCUCAGAUCUCCAAAUGCUGCAGGACAAACAGCUGCACAGAUGUGGUGCAUAAUGAGGCAUUUCUGUCUUAUGAUGGGCGACUGUGUUGAAGAAGAUAAUCAAUACUGGGAGGUCAUACUUCUCCUGAUUGAGUGCAUGGACAUCAUUUUCUCCCCUGUCAAUACUGUAGGAGAAACUCGCUAUCUCACGCAACUCAUAAGAGAUCAUCAUCAAAUGUAUGUUGAAGUGUUUGAAGCUCAUCUCAAACCCAAGCACCAUUUUAUGUUGCAUUAUGCAAAAGCUAUCAGAGAGAUUGGGCCAUUGGGGCAAUAUUGGGCUAUGAGGUUUGAAGCUAAGCAUAACGACUCCAAACAGAUGGGUCAUGUCAUUUGCAACUUCAAAAAUAUACCAUUAUCAUUGGCAGUCAAGCAUCAAAUGCAGUUGUGCUAUACAUUGCAUACUAGGAAAUCAUUGGAAGAUUCAAUGUUAGAAGUUGGACCAGGGGAAGCUACAGUACUCGCUUCAUUGGAUGAUGCAGAAAUCAUCUCAAAUCUGUUAGACAACUAUCCAUUGUUUGAUGAUGUUUUCAUUGCGAAGUGGAUUAAAUUCUGUGGCACCAUCUACAGAAAAGGUAUGAUUUUGGUUGUAGGGAAGUGUCCAGAUGAGGAUCCUAAUUUUGGGAAAAUACAUGAGGUCCUUGUUCUGCCAGAAUCAAAAGUUAAGUUCAUCGUCCAGCCAUGGUCAGUAGUAGGGUAUUCUCGCCACUUGCAUGCUUAUGUUGUCCAGAAACCAAGCAUACUUACUAGACUUGCUUCAUGUGAUGUAGAACAACUGGUAGAUUUCCACCCACUUCAUGCAACACAGGCUUAUAUGGAAGGAGACAACUGGUACAUCAGCCCAAGAUACUCACUUUAAUGUGGGAGAAAAUGCUGAUGCAGAACUAUCUGAAAAGGAACUAGAACCAGGGGAAGUGUGUGAAUCUGUGGCAGAAAAGUCAACAAAUAGAUGGAUAAGAAAGGAAGCUGUGAAGGUACCUGAUAAGACAAUAAUGUCUAGUGAUGUAGCAAUGCUUUCAUCUGAUAGUGACUCAGCCGAGGAAGAAAUUAGUGCAGGACCAGCAAAGAAACAAAAAACAGAAAUGAGUGGACCAGCAAAGAAACCAAAAACAGAAACGAGUGGACCAGCUAAGAAACCAAAAACAGAAAUGAGUGGACCAGCAAAGAAGCCAAUUGUGAAGAUGUCCAAGACACCAUAUGAAUUUGACAUAAGUGCUAUUCUGGAAAAGGCUGCUGGUGGCCAGUCCAUUCUCGGUGAACUUGAAGAAGGUGGACCACAGAGUGCCUCUAACAGACGAAGAAUGGUGAGAAUAGUUGUAUCCCACCUCAUGGAGAAAUAUGGAAACAAACCAUCUGCUGAACAGAAGGUGGGCAUGGCAAUAUCCAUGAUUCAACAAUUUCCAGCACUGAAAGAUGUUGAAGGACCUGGUUAUGAAGCAUGGUAUACACCAGCAGUAGAGGGUGCACAUGCAAAGGGCUUCAUCGAAGAAAGGUUGAAAAAUGUGAGAAAGAGAAUGCCAAAGCAAGGGUGGACAUCUUUGGAACCUUCAAGUUCAAGUGAGGAGAACCAGAAAGAACCAUCAACCAAGGAAAAAAUUGAAGAACUAAAAUCUAAAG